UACGUAGGUGGCAAGCGAUACUCGGAAUCACUAGCGUAAAGCGCAGGUAGGCGUUUGGUAAGUCUUUUGUGAAAGCUCCCGGCUUAACUGGGAGAGGUCAAGGGAAACUACCGGACUAGAGUGUGGUAGGGGAUACUGGAAUUCCUGGUGUAGCGGUGAAAUGCGUAGAUAUCCAGGAGGGAAUACCUAUGGCGAAAGCAGGUAUCUGGGCCCAUCACUG
rnacentral:rRNA from 1 species